rnacentral:rRNA from 1 species
UACGGAAGGGGCAAGCGUUGUUCGGAAUCAUUGGGCGUAAAGGGCGCGUAGGUGGUUCUGUAUGUCGGGCGUGAAAGCCCACGGCUCAACCGUGGAAUUGCGCUCGAGACUGAAGGGCUCGAGGACGGGAGAGGAUGGUGGAAUUCCCAGUGUAGAGGUGAAAUUCGUAGAUAUUGGGAAGAACACCGGUGGCGAAGGCGGGUCUCUGGGCCGAUAUUGACGCUGAGGAGCGAAAGCGUGGGGAGCGAACAGG